GAAGCAACUUCAAUAGAAACUUAAAUAUUCACUGAUUUCUUCUGGCACAAGAUAGAACUGCCACAUCUCAACUUCCAAACUCAAGCCAAUACCCUUAUGGUCAGCUGUUAUGGUCACGCAGAAUGGAUCUUGUCACAGGGCGAUUCACUGGAAAGUUUGUUCAACACAGAUCAUUUCCCUUGUUUCUAUUCCGUGAGCGACCUAUAACCUUAGAAGUCGUUAGAGACUCUCCCAGACCUCUUGUUUUUAAUAUAAAUCUUGCUCGCCUUUCUUUAUUCCUUCUGUCUCUUUAAAUAGAGUCUUAUUACAAAGCUAUAAAGCAUAAUUAGUAGUCUACAUAUAUAAGAAAUCUACUAAACUAAGAAUUCUAGUAAAAUUAAACUACUGACUAAACUAAGAAUUCUAGUCAAAUUAAACUACUGACUAUUUAAAUGCCCAACAAAUAUCUAUCAGGUGCAUCACCCCCCUACGAAUGAGUCUGUAACAUUACCCCCUCUUCUUUAAAGAGCUUGUCCUCAAGCUCGAAGUCUGGAUAAGCAUUAAGAAAAUGUUCAGCAUCCUGAUCAGCAAGUUCCAACCAAAAUAGCUUCUUACAUUGAUGCCCAAUCAAAUACAAUUCAUCACAAUUAUAACACAAUCCCUUUGUUCUCUCUGCCAUUUCAGCUCGUGACAACUUCUUUAUGAAAGGAGCAAAUGAACUUACCAACUUUGGUUUUUACCGCAUUGCUUUCCCUUGGAGUUGGAGUUGUUGAACUUGUAGUAGUACUGAAAUAGCCUUUAGUCCCUUGCCAAGUCUUACUUUGAGAAGAUGUCGCUCGCACCAACUUCUGUUUCUUUUCAAAACCUCGAGCUAUAUUUAUGGCAUGAACCAAAUCUUGUGGACUACGCAUUUCAACAUCAAGCCUAAUGGAAUCGAUCAGCCCGGCAGUGAAAAGACUAACUUGCUGGUCAACACGAACACACUUACUAAGCUUGUUUGCUUAAGGUUAACCAGAUCACCUAGUGGAUUACUGCCCAGUGGAGGCCUAAACCUGAGAGCACAAUAUUCUUUGAAUUCAGACCAAUCAACUGAGGUAUACUCUUGUUCCACUUGAUGAUACCAUAAUUGUGCCUCACCUAGAAGAUGGAAUGCUGCCAAUUCCACCUUAUCUACUUCAUUUGUUCUCUGAUUGGAGAAGAAUUUCUCACAACGGUGUAGCCAAAUCAAUGGGUCUUCAGAUCCGUCAAAAGUGGGAAAAUCCAGCUUUGUGUAUCUUGGUACUACACUAUUUCCUGUCAGCUGAUUAGGCCGAUUCUCUGGUCUGUAGGGUUGGUUACCUACAUUGCUGCUUGCUCCAGCAUCAGAAUCCUUUCCUUGAUUUUUGUUAAACCUAACAAUGAACUCCUGCAAUUGUAACGAUAAUUGUUGCAGCCGAUUAACCAUCCUUGAUUCAGAUUGUGCCAUUUCCGAGGACAUGACCCUAGAUAGGAAAGUCUGGAGGUCUAGCAUCAGGGUUGUAGGAUAGGGCUCCUAGAGUUUUUCGUACUACUCACCCGGGGUUGGGUGAGGCUUGGCAGGGCUAUCCAUAGAUAAUUUGUGUUUUGGAUUGUGUCUCACUUAUGGUAGUUAAUGUAUGAUAUUAUUGCAUGAUAUUUAUAUAUGGUUCUUAUGUUUAGAUAAUUAUUUACGUUAUUUCUGCUGGAGUUACUAAUGCUCUUUUGUUUUUGUUUUUGUUUUUACUUUCCUUCACUUGGUCGAUUGGAAACAGCCUCUGUGCCCUUUCGGGUAGGGGUAAGGCUAGUCUACAUAUUACCCUCCCCAGACCCCACUUUGUGGUGGGACUAUACUGGGUAGUUGUUGUUGUUGUUGUUGAUUCAGAUUGUGCCACUGCUUCAUGUUAUUCGUGCUUCGUUGGCAGCCUAUGCCUCUUGAAGGAGAGCCUGUAACUCUUCACGUUUGCUUGGAUCACCCAUAGAGUUUGGCUCUGAUACCAAGUUGUUAUGGUCACGCAGAAUGGAUCUUGUCAGAGGGCGAUUCACUGGAAAAUCUGUGUUGAAACAGAUCCUUUCCCUUGUUUCUAUUCCGUGAGCGGCCUAUUUUGAUAACAAUAAAUAAACUCGUUAAAGGGAACCUAUAACCUUAGAACUCAUUAGAGAGAGUCCCAGACCUCUUGUUUUUAAUAUAAAUCUUGUCUGCCUUUUUUAUUCCUUCUGUCUCUUUAAAUAGAGUCUAAUUACAAAGCUAUUAAGCAUAACUAGGAGUCUACAGAUAUAAGAAAUCUACUACACUAAGAAUUCUAGUAAAAUUAAACUACUGACUAAACUAAGAAGUCUAGUAAAGUUAAACUACUGACUAUUUAAAUGCCCAACAAAUAUCUGUCAGGUGCAUUAACCCCCACGAAUGAGUCUGUAACAUCAGCACAUUCAGUAAUACCUUACAAAUUAGAUUAGCAAUUUACUAGUCUAAAGAUUGAAUGCAUUGUGUUUCACAUAUGGUAUAUGACACAUUCCUCAUUCAGCG
rnacentral:lncRNA from 1 species